rnacentral:rRNA from 1 species
AGUGAACGCUGGCGGUAGGCCUAACACAUGCAAGUCGAACGGCAGCACAGUAAGAGCUUGCUCUUACGGGUGGCGAGUGGCGGACGGGUGAGGAAUACAUCGGAAUCUACUUUUUCGUGGGGGAUAACGUAGGGAAACUUACGCUAAUACCGCAUACGACCUACGGGUGAAAGCAGGGGAUCUUCGGACCUUGCGCGAUUGAAUGAGCCGAUGUCGGAUUAGCUAGUUGGCGGGGUAAAGGCCCACCAAGGCGACGAUCCGUAGCUGGUCUGAGAGGAUGAUCAGCCACACUGGAACUGAGACACGGUCCAGACUCCUACGGGAGGCAGCAGUGGGGAAUAUUGGACAAUGGGCGCAAGCCUGAUCCAGCCAUGCCGCGUGCGUGAAGAAGGCCUUCGGGUUGUAAAGCCCUUUUGUUGGGAAAGAAAAGCAGCAGGUUAAUACCCCGCUGUUCUGACGGUACCCAAAGAAUAAGCACCGGCUAACUUCGUG